GACGAACGCUGGCGGCGUGCCUAAUACAUGCAAGUAGGACGCAGUUGCGAACGGGAGAGUAACGCGUAGGUAACUACCUAUCAGAGGGGGAUAACCACUGGUAACGCUAGCUAAUACCGCAUACUAGUAGAUGGACCUGCGUUGUAUUGGCUAGUAGGUAGGGUAAUGGCCUACCUAGGCAACGAUACAUCACCGACUGGAGAGGGUGAUCGAGCCAAAUGGGAACGGAAAAAGGCCCAGACUCCUACGGGGGGGAGCAGUUGGGAAUCUUCGGCAAUGGGGGGAACGCUGACCGAGCAACGCCGCGUGAGUGGAGGAGGUUCUCGGAUCGGAAAGCUCUGUUGUUAAGGAAGCGGUACUUAACCAGAAAGGGACGGCUAACUACGUGCCAGCAGCCGCGGUAAUUC
rnacentral:rRNA from 1 species